UUCAAACUGCUGAAUGCCCUAUUCCAUAUGAUAGACUGUCUAUCUUUCCCUGAAAAAGCGUAUACUUUUGUUCAAUAAGCAAAUAAAGCAUACUUCUUUUGCGGAUCAAGCAGUCUUCUACCUUGGUGGGUAGCGGAGAAUCAAAUCAAUAUCGGAGUAUUGCUCUAGCUGCUGCUGAAUUAACCUGGAUUCAAUCGUGACUCUCUGAACUAGGCUGUACUUCGUCUUCCCCUCUGGAC
rnacentral:lncRNA from 1 species